AGGUUUUUGGCGUUAGGGUUAAAAUCACUGUCCAAAACCUUUGUAGGAACUAUUUUCCAACCUUUUGGAGUUAGUUAGACCAAAAAAAAAAACGAAAAAUGAAAAAAAAUAUUUGGGGUGUUCGGGCUUCCUGAAGGUAAUACCAAGGUAUUAGGUUAUGGGGCUAGGGUAAGGUUUAAGGUUUUUGGCGUUAGGGUUAAAAUCACUGUCCAAAACCUUUUUAGGAACAUGUUUCAGACCUUUUGGAGUUGGUUACACCAAAAAAAAUGUAAAAUGAAAAAGAAUUUUUUUUGGGUGUUCGGGCUUCCUGAAGGUAAUACUAGGUUUCUGGGCUAGGGUAAUGUUUAAGGUUUUUGGCGUUAGGGUUAAAAUCACUGUCCAAAACCUUUGUAGGAACUCUUUUCCAACCUUUGAGAGCAAGUUAGACCAAAACAAAAAGAAAAAUAAAAAAUAUAUAUUUGGGGUGUUCGGGCUUCCUGAAGGUAAUACCCGGGUAUUAGGUUAUGGGGCUAGGUUAAGGUUUAAGGUUUUUGGCGUGAGGGUUAAAAUCACUGUCCAAAACAUUUGUAGGAACUCUUUUCCAACCUUUGGGAAUAAGUUAGACAAAAAAAAUAAGAUAAAUGAAAAAAAAAUAUUUGGGGUGUUCGGGCUUCCUGAAGGUAAUACCCGGGUAUUAGGUUAUGGGGCUAGGGUUAGGUUUAAGGUUUUUGGCGUUAGGGUUAAAAUAACUGUCCAAUAUUUUUUAAGGAACAUGUUUCAGACCUUUGGGAGUUAGUUAGACAAAAAAAAAGAAAAA